AACGAACGCUGGCGGCAGGCCUAACACAUGCAAGUCGAGCGCCCUUUCGGGGCUGCGGCGGACUGGUGGGUAACGCGUGGGAAUAUGCCCUUCUCUAUGGACUAGCCUCGGGAAACUGAGAGUAUUACCGUAUUCGGCCUGUUGGGGAAAGAUUUAUCGGGGAAGGAUUAGCGCGCGUUGGAUUUGGUAGUUGGUGGGGUAAUCGCAUACCAAGCCGACGAUGCAUAGCUGGUUUGGGAGGAUGAUCAGUCACAAUGGGACUGAGACACGGACCAGACUCCUACGGAAGGCAGCAGUGGGGAAUCUUAGAGAAUGGAGGCAAACCUAAUCUAGCCAUGCGGCGUGAGUGGUGAAGGGGUUAGGGUUGUAAAGCUGUUUGAGCUGGGAAGAUAAUGACGGUACCAGCAGAAGAAGCACCGGCUAACUCCGUG
rnacentral:rRNA from 1 species